UUAUGUUAUGUUUUGUUUUCUUUCCUGCUUUCAUCUGCUGGUCUUGAUGAUACAAUAACUAUCAGGGAUUUCUAUGUUGCUCAGACUUUGGAGGAAGUGUGUCGGAUAAGGAUAUGUGUCUGACAUGGGUGCGUACAAUAUUUCUAUGGUUUUUCCCUUAUAUUUGGAGGGUCUCGAGGCCCCAUUCCCAUGCCCACUUUGAGGUUCAGAUAAGUGUCUGAUACAGGUACUUGAAGAAGCAACAUAGGGAGAUUUGGCUACCUUGUGAGUUUGUUUAUUUUCAUUUCACUUCUUAUAGUAGUUAGUACUUAGUAUUAAACUAGCUUUAAGUAUAAGUCCGUUAAUUUAACUACUGGAUAUAAUUUCACCAGAUGCAUCUCUAGGUCUAGCUAGGAGCUUUAUGCCAGUACAUCUUUAUCUUAUGUAUGUAUAGUUGGUUAAGCACUUGGAUGGAUACUUUCACAAAUUACGAGAAUUCCUGCUACACCUACAGCGCCUAGUCGCAGAUUCCUCUUCUGCAGGUAGACAAAUUUCUUCUGCAGAUUGUUUUGUUAGGUCAUCCUGAAUGCCAUACCUCAUCAUAAAAUGCCAUCCUGUGUAACUGAUAGGGUUGCAUGUGAACUACGUCUUGCUAUAUGAUCCUGUCUUGUGUAAAUAAGAUAUGAGCUAGAGAGUGAUGCUGAUACACUUUAGUAGAUUCAAUCAGUACCAUCUUGUUUAAACUAAACAUUGAAAAAAAUUAGGAUGAAAGUCACAAUGGUAAUAGGU
rnacentral:lncRNA from 1 species